UACCAGCACCCCGAGUGGUCGGGACGUUUAUUGGGCCUAAAGCAUCCGUAGCCGGUUCUACAAGUCUUCCGUUAAAUCCAGCUGCUUAACAGAUGGGCUGCGGAAGAUACUAUGGAGCUAGGAGGCGGGAGAGGCAAGCGGUACUCGAUGGGUAGGGGUAAAAUCCGUUGAUCCAUUGAAGACCACCAGUGGCGAAGGCGGCUUGCCAGAACGCGCUCGACGGUGAGGGAUGAAAGCUGGGGGAGCAAGACGG
rnacentral:rRNA from 1 species